AGUUUGAUCAUGGCUCAGAUUGAACGCUGGCGGCAGGCCUAACACAUGCAAGUCGAGCGGCAGCGGGAGGAAGCUUGCUUCCUUGCCGGCGAGCGGCGGACGGGUGAGUAAGGUAUGGGGAUCUGGCGGAAGGCGGGGGAUAACCACUGGAAACGGUGGCUAAUACCGCAUAAUCUCUAAGGAGCAAAGUGGGGGACCGUUCAGGCCUCACACCUUCGGAUGAACCCAUAUGAGAUUAGCUAGUAGGUGGGGUAAUGGCUCACCUAGGCGACGAUCUCUAGCUGGUCUGAGAGGAUGAUCAGCCACACUGGGACUGAGACACGGCCCAGACUCCUACGGGGGGCAGCAGUGGGGAAUAUUGCACAAUGGGCGCAAGCCUGAUGCAGCCAUGCCGCGUGUAUGAAGAAGGCCUUCGGGUUGUAAAGUACUUUCAGUCGUGAGGAAGGUGUUAAGGUUAAUAACCUUAGCAAUUGACGUUAGCGACAGAAGAAGCACCGGCUAACUCCGUGCCAGCAGCCGCGGUAAUACGGAGGGUGCGAGCGUUAAUCGGAAUUACUGGGCGUAAAGGGCACGCAGGCGGUUAAUUAAGUUGUAUGUGAAAUCCCCGGGCUUAACCUGGGAAUGGCAUUCAAGACUGGUUAGCUAGAGUCUUGUAGAGGGGGGUAGAAUUCCAUGUGUAGCGGUGAAAUGCGUAGAGAUGUGGAGGAAUACCGGUGGCGAAGGCGGCCCCCUGGACAAAGACUGACGCUCAUGUGCGAAAGCGUGGGGAGCAAACAGGAUUAGAUACCCUGGUAGUCCACGCUGUAAACGAUGUCGAUUUGGAGGUUGUGGUCAUGAACUGUGGCCUCCGGAGCUAACGCGUUAAAUCGACCGCCUGGGGAGUACGGCCGCAAGGUUAAAACUCAAAUGAAUUGACGGGGGCCCGCACAAGCGGUGGAGCAUGUGGUUUAAUUCGAUGCAACGCGAAGAACCUUACCUACUCUUGACAUCCAGCGAAUCCUUUAGAGAUAGAGGAGUGCCUUCGGGAGCGCUGAGACAGGUGCUGCAUGGCUGUCGUCAGCUCGUGUUGUGAAAUGUUGGGUUAAGUCCCGCAACGAGCGCAACCCUUAUCCUUUGUUGCCAGCGAGUAGAGUCGGGAACUCAAAGGAGACUGCCGGUGAUAAACCGGAGGAAGGUGGGGAUGACGUCAAGUCAUCAUGGCCCUUACGAGUAGGGCUACACACGUGCUACAAUGGCGUAUACAGAGAGAGGCGAGCCAGCGAUGGGAAGCGGAACUCAGAAAGUACGUCGAAGUCCGGAUUGGAGUCUGCAACUCGACUCCAUGAAGUCGGAAUCGCUAGUAAUCGCGGAUCAGCAUGUCGCGGUGAAUACGUUCCCGGGCCUUGUACACACCGCCCGUCACACCAUGGGAGUGGGUUGCAAAAGAAGUAGGUAGCUUAACCUUUUGGAUGGCGCUUCCCACUUUGUGAUUCAUGACUGGGGUGAAGUCGUAACAAGGUAACCGUAGGGGAACCUGCGGUUGGAUCACCUCCUUACCUAGAUAGAUGGAAUGUGAGUGUUCACACAGAUUGUCUGAUGAAGAUUGAGCAGAAGGUAUCAUUAGGCUUGUAGCUCAGGAGGUUAGAGCGCACCCCUGAUAAGGGUGAGGUCGGUGGUUCAAGUCCACUCAGGCCUACCAACAUUACUGAUGGAAGUGGCUGAAAGGCAAGGUUAGCAGUAAGGUGUAAUGAUACGACAAUCUUAAUGGGGCUAUAGCUCAGCUGGGAGAGCGCCUGCUUUGCACGCAGGAGGUCAGCGGUUCGAUCCCGCUUAGCUCCACCAUAUUGCAAGAUAAAAAUAGGGAAAAAGUUAUUCAGAGCAGGCUGGCAACAGUAUGCUGCGAAUAAUAAUGCUCUUUAACAAUCUGGAACAAGCUGAAAAUUGAAACACACAUUAUUGAAGAAAUAGUGUGGAGAACUCUCAAAACUCCAAUUUGAAGUGUUAUUCAAAUAGGCAGACGAGUGGCAUGAGCGAGCAGGGUGAAAUUUGCGGCGUAGGCGCGCAGUCAGCGUAGCGUACAUAAGUACGUGAGCAUGACGAGCGCCGCACAACAAAAAAUUUCGCACGGCGCAGCCAUGACGCUUCCGUAUUAUUUGAUAAGAGACACCUUCGGGUUGUGAGGUUAAGCGAAUGAAGCGUACACGGUGGAUGCCUAGGCGGUCAGAGGCGAUGAAGGACGUGCUAAUCUGCGAAAAGCGUCGGUAAGCUGAUAUGAAGCGUACUAGCCGGCGAUGUCCGAAUGGGGAAACCCAGUGCAUUAAUGCACUAUCGUUUGAUGAAUUCAUAGUCAAACGAGGCGAACCGGGGGAACUGAAACAUCUCAGUACCCCGAGGAAAAGAAAUCAACCGAGAUUCCCCCAGUAGCGGCGAGCGAACGGGGAGCAGCCCAGAGUCAACAUCAAUAUUUACCGCAGGAGAAGGGUCUGGAAAGGCCGGCAAUAAAGGGUGAUAGCCCCGUAUCUGAAACGGUAAGUGUUGUGAACUCGAAGAGUAGGGAGGGACACGUGUUAUCCUGUCUGAAUAUGGGGGGACCAUCCUCCAAGGCUAAAUACUCCUGACUGACCGAUAGUGAACCAGUACCGUG
rnacentral:sRNA from 1 species